GUGCUCGCUUUGGCAGCACAUAUACUAAAAUUGGAAUGAUACAGGGAAGAUUAGCAUGACCUCUGUGCAAGGAUGACACACAAAUUCAUGAAGCGUUCCAUAUUUGA
rnacentral:snRNA from 1 species